UUGCUGCAGGUGAAUGAAUUCCCCAGACUCCUUGCUUUGGUGAGGACGUGUUCUGCUGCUUUCAAUAGAAAUCCAGCGACACUGGUGUAACCAGAUAGAGGUUUAUAUUCCUUUGCUAACAGUGUGUUCAAAGGGGGGCUGUCCAGGGAUGCUCUGGGGGCUCUGCGAUGCCAUCAGAAACCAGGCCCCUUCCAGCUCCAUGUGCCACCAUCCUUAACAUGUGGGUCCACCCCCAGGCACCCCCGGGCAUGGGAUGUGUACCACAGGCAAGACGAGACGAAGAUCUGGUGCCAGAUGAGUCUGUUACUGUUUGUGUCAGAAAAGCAAUGGCUUUCUGGGAAGCCAUACCCUGUGCAUCUCAUUAACCCAAAUUGGGUCAUGGGGAUGUGUGAAUAAGGGAGAAGCGAGCCUGGGGUUGGAUAGAUACUGAGCAGAGUCUUCACAGCUGUAAUUCAGGAUGUAUUGCCAGGUGGUGGCCUGAGUUGAUCGGAUGUGGGAGUGAUUGGGGAGUACAAAGGAAGAAUUCAGAGGCUGCUCUGAUAGUCUGGGCAAAAGUGAGGAAGAUGUCCUUGUGGAUGGGUGAAGCCCACAUGGGCCAGCUACAGGAAGGACCCCCAUCUUCAUGGUGACACCCCCAAGCCCCCCGCUGCCCUCAUGUGGACCCUGUGGUUGCCUCUGGGUUCAUUUCUGCUUUUGUUUGCCUUCUACACAGCAGCCGUAAUGAUCUUUAAAAAAUACAUACAUCCAAACUAGGACAAGUGACUCUCUGUGGAGAAAUUAACUGACAAUAUGUAUUCAGUCAGGCUCUCCUGUCCCACUCUCUCAUGACCUCAUAUCUUAUGUUCUGUAAACAAUGAUAUUGCUGAACUUGGUAGCACUGGGCCUGUGCACCCACUUGGCCAUGGGCCACUUUUGUCUGUCUUAGUAUAUCAGUAGUCUUUGAAGACUCGCUGCUGCUGCUGCUGCUGCUGCUGCUGCCCAGAAAGAAUAAACAGGUCUGCAGUCCCCACACCUCCUUGAGUCUUUUCUGUCUUCCCUGAUUGUACCUUAUCUACCCUGGGAUCAGGGAACAAUUUGAGUGGCAAGACAAUUGGCUCAGUCAGCAGGAUAUCCAGCAGGUAGGGAAGCCUGAGGCUCCAAUGGAAGGAAGAAGCCACCACAGUGCAUUGGGUACCCGGUGGCCACUGUCCUCUCGGCAUGGGUCCCAAUGGAAGACUGGGAGGCGGUGAAUGGGUCACCGGAUGAUAUUGAAAAGACAUUAUAGGUGGUGAGCUCUCGCUUUCUGGACAAAGCAGCCGUACAUACUGCUGCUAACAUCGUGAGGUGGGUUUUAUUGACUGCCUUGAAGGCGAACAUGGAGAAUGCUCUCCCUGAUGCUGCGUGAGUGUACAAAAAGUAUUGAAAAAGCUUUAUAAGCGGCGAGGUCUCGCUUGCCAGAUAAAGCAGCAUGCGCUGCCACCAACACUUUGGGGUGGACUUUGUUGAACAUGGAGAUGCUCUCCGUGAUGCUGUGUGAGUGUGUGAACUGCAGAGAUGGGCAGAGGAACUAGAGCAACAGGUGCAGUUGCUAGAACAAGAGCUGCAUGGCCUUGGGGGCUAUGGUGUCUUGGACUGGGAUUACAGAAUGCCAGGUGACUCAUGCAGGGUGCACCUAAUCAAACACACAGCCUGAUGAAAUGGAUUGAUGCUGCCAUCUGCACCAUGUGGACGAAAGCAGGAGAGUUCCUGGAUUCCGUGAGUAAAUGGCACACUUAUGCUGAGUUAACCCAAGUGGUGAGCGAAUUGGGCAUGAGACAGGGCAUGUUUAACCUAAAUGCCCAGAGCCCAGAUGAUGAACGUUUUACUGGCUGUAUUCAGGAUGCUGUUUUAACCAAUGCUCCGCCCACCUAUUUUGGAUCCUUGCCUGCUGUACUUACACCCUAUUUGGGGCACCCCGUCUGGCUAGCUUGAGAAACACAAAGGGGCCGUGUCAGGCUAAAGAGGUUAGGGCUGUGAAAACCCUGAAGGUCAGCCGAGCUGACAAAUGCCCCAUCUGGGUGACACAGGCGCAAAUGUGGGCUGAUGCACUAGCAGCAGGACUUGACAGAAAUAAAAUUGACAAGCAACUAAUGCUGUACUCCUAGAGCUGUGGAAGCAAUUGAGACCAGAGCAGCAGUUUACUAAAUGUGGAAAGUGCCCACAGCAUGAGGAACAGGCGGUUCAAAUAGAGGACUUUAUGCCAACUGGAGAUGUCUCUGCUGAUGCCCUGUUCCAUUUUGAAUAGGGCUCAAACCAAGGUGCCUGCCUAGAGAGCCCAAGUGGGGACUGGAGGCUCCUUGUGAAACUUGCAAUUCCCUGGUCACCGACCAAUGUACAAAGAGUAAUGGCCCUGGUUGACACCGGUGCUGGAUGCAGCCUGGUACCUGGCAAACCAGAACAGUUUCCUGGCCGCAAUGCAUAUAUUGAUGGCUAUGGUGGCCAAAACAUUGAAGUAAAGGUUGUGUCCUUGACAUUGGAAAUUGGGUGACUUUUUGUGCAAGUGUACACAGUGUAUGUGUCCCCAGUUCUGGAAUAUAUUUUGGAGAUAGAAAUCUUGCAAGGUCUUGUGCUGUGGACCUCUGUGGGGGAAUUCCGUCUCCAGUGCGUGUUGUGAAGGCAGUCAUGAGGGGAUAUGCCAAGCAUCCCCCACAGGUGUUGCCGACACCCCGGAGGGCAGUGACUGUGAGACAAUAUCGUCUACCAGGUGGCCACAGAGAAAUAGAUGCCACCAUUGCCGAGCUAACAAAAGUGGACAUUGUAUGUUCUACACAAAGCCCAUUCAACUCGCCUAUGUGGCCCGUCUGGAAGCCUGAUGGCUCUUGGUGGAUGACUGUGGACUACAGGGAACUGAAUAAAAUGGUGCCACCUGUGCAUGCUGCUAUGCCAUUUAUCCAUGGCUUGAUGGACCAGUUAACUACAGCGCUGGGCACUCAUCACUAUGUGGUGGACUUACUAAUGCUUGUUUCUCCAUAGUUAUAGCUGCUGAGAGUCAAGAUCAGUUUGAAUUCACUUGGGAAGGGUAUCAGUGGAUGUUCCAAGUCCUUUCCAAGGAUAUCUGCAUAGCCCAACAAUAUGUCAUGGUUGCAAGAAAUUUGGAAGAAUGGAACUGCCCUGCAUCAGUGAAACUGUUUCAUUAUAUUGAUGAUGUGCUACUAAUUAAUCUCUGAUUCUUUUGCAGAUGUAAAACAGUGUACUGUAAAGCUGUAUCCUAUGAUGUAGACAGUGUACUGUAAAGGUUGUAACCUCAGAUUUAAAAAAAUGUAAUCAUGUGGGUGAAACAAGCUCUUCCUAAUGAGGUGAUGCCUUGGCUACACAGGCACCUACCAUCAAGCAGGGACAAAAGCCAAGUAGGCAAUUGCCAGAGGGUGGGAUCUUCCUAUUUCUUGGAGAGAAAUAGCAGAUGCCUGCCAUGAUUGUUCCACACAUGCCCGGGAAGUGCUUCACCCCUGCAGGCUGGCAGCCACUGAUGGACAGGUGGUGAGGGGAGAGUUCCUUUGACUCGGUGGCAAGUGGACUUUGUAGGGCCUCUGCCACUAUCAGAGGAUGCCAGCUUCACUUUAAUAACUGUAGAUACAGCUACAGGUUUGCUGUUUGGCCAUGCAAAGCCGCUGACCAAUGCUGUACACUUAAGGUGCUUGACUGACUGAUAGCCAUGUAUGGCUGUCCUCUGAUUACAGACAGUGACUAGGGUACUCAUUUCACCAGAAAGGAAGUGCAAGACUGGGCACAGAGGCUGGGAAUUCAAUGGGUAUUUCAUGUCCCAUAUCACCCACAGGCAUCAGGCAUGAGUGAGUGAUACAAUGGUUUGUUAAAACAAGGCUUGCGGCUGUCUAUUGAUUCCCUCCCUCCUUAAAGUGGUGGACCUGAUGCCUAUGGGGGGUUUUACGGGUCCUCAAUGAAAAACCAUGCAGCCUCCCUGGUCGAGGCUCUUCUGAAUGGAGCUGCUGCGCUGAUACAACUGCAGAUGGCAACAACAGAUAUUCUCCGAAAACCUGGCUAUGGAACCCAAGGUAAUAUCUUGUUGCCAGCCCCAACGGAGAUUGCACAAGGACAGAUGGUGGACUGGACUUGGCCAUGGAAGAUAAAGGCCCACCCCAUGCGUUGGGUAGCUCUCCUAGCCCCAUGGGGGCAGAGGCUGCAACAUGACUUUCAGGUUUACCCUGGGUGACAAGCCCCUGGCCCCUUCAUGUGCAUGUGACCUGGCCAGGACCACAGGGAGCUGCCUCAGUGUUGAAAGGUGCAUUUGUACUCUCCCUGUGGCCUGUCAUGAAUUUCCCUAUUAUGCUCCACGUGGAACCACAGGAUGUAAGCAAUCCAUGACGUGCAACGCCUAGCUGGAGACACACUGCAGGAGAGGUGGGCCAGCCUGUCCAGUACCCGGCACUGGGUUUUGCUCUGUAGCAGCUGUGCAGCCUGCACUCUAGUGGUUUGUUGUUGUAGCCCUUACUGUUGUUGUGGAAUGUGCAAGCAUUCUGGUGCAAGCAGCCGUGUGCACCAGAAAAAAGCCACAGGGGGUCGAGUCUGUGUAAACAGUGGGACAGAAGACCCGAGGAGUGGAUUGUGGAGAAAUUAACUGACAACACAGGCUCAGUCAGGCUCUCCUGUCCCACUCUCUCAUGGCCUCAUACCUUAUGUUCUGUAAACAACGAUAUUGCUGACCUUGGUAGCACUGGGCUUGCGUGCCCACUUGGCCAUGGGCCACUUUUGUCUGUCUUAGUGUAUCAGCAGUCUUUGAAGACUCGCUGCUGCUGCUGCUGCUGCUGCUGCCUGGAGAGAAUAAACAUGUCUGAAGUCCACGCAGCUCCUCGAGUCUUCUUCCAGCUUCCCUGAUUGCGCCUCAUCUACCCUGGAUCAAUGAACAGUCUUAUAACAUAUCUGGAUGCUGAGUUUUCAGAAGAUAAAGCAUAACCUGUGUUCGUCACUUCCCUGGGUGGACAAGCUGACAACAGUGGACUGUUGGACCCUCAAGGACAGCUCCAGCGGCAAAACUGAGAACUGAAAGAAUGAAACCUCAUUUGGGAAGAAGAAACUCUGUCUCAUAGCCGUGAUCAUGCCAUCAGCUGCCCCGUGGAACGAGUCUAAAGCUUCCUCCACUGAUAGUUCCUGCACCUGCUCAGGGGCUGCUCCUAACAUGAAAGCCCUAAGUCUUUAUCUUCUCACCUCAUGUGAGCAUCAAAAGAGGAGAACAGAAAUUAACACAAUCUGAAGAACUGAAAGAUGAAUUUGAGAAAGAAAAACAAUGAUUAUCCCUGAGGUGUACAUAUGCAUUUUUUAAAAUCUUAAGAAAAUACUAUAAAAGUUUUAGUAAUUAAAAUACUACAUAACUGAGAAAAGCCAAGAAACAAAUCUAAAUAUAUAGAGACUGUGGAUAGUUUAUUUCAUAGAUGUUUUAGAAAAAAUGGCUAUUUGGCAACUAGGUUAUAUCUGUCUUUCACAUUAUACACUAAAUACAAACAAAAAACCAAACCAAACCAAAACCUUGUUGGCUUAUCUAAAGAAAUAUUAACAAAUCAAACAAUAAAAGAUCUAGAAAAAAUAUUUUUUAUGGUGGGGUAGGAAAGGCAUUCAACAUUUAAUUAAAGAAAUUUGAAACUGAUUUUCAUGUUUGAGGCAAUAUUGAUGAAUUUCUAGUGUUAAAGAGCAUAUAAGAAAUAAAUACUCUCAUAUACUGCUGGAUGGAUUGUGAAAUGUACUUAAAUUGCUAAAGAGCAGUUUGGCAAAAAUAGAUCAAAAGUUUUCACAUUUUACAAACUGGUCUUGAGAAAAUUAUUAUAGAUUUAGGAAAAUGUUGAUUUUGUGGAAAAUGAUUGGAAACAAUUCAACUCUAAGGGGUUUAUUAAACAAAUCUUUAUGCAGCCAUGUGAUGGAAUACUAUUCAGCCAUUAAAAUGGUGGAAAGAAUAUUUAAUGAUAAGGGGAGUUAUUGACAAUAUGUUUUUAGGUAAAGUAGAAGGUUAGGAAACUAAACAGAAAAUAUGGUUCCCAAUUUAAAGACAGGAAGGCUAUUUGCAAAACUAAUAGUGAUUAUCUCUGAGUCUGGGGAUUAUGAAUGAUUUAAAAUUUCUAUUUAUGCCUUUUGUAUUUUCAUAUUUUCUUCAAUAAACAUAUUUUACUUUUGGAAUCAGAAAGGAGUGUUAAUAAGAGA